AGAGGGCUCUGAACCAGUACCAGGCCCAGCUGGGAGAGCCAAGACCUGGCCUCGGACCCAGAGAGGACAUCCAGCGCUUCAUCCUCCGAUCCCUGGGGGAGAAAAGGCAGCUCUACUAUGCCAUGGAGCACCUGGGGACCAGCUUCAGGGAUCCUGACCCCUGGACCCCUGCAGCUCUCAUCCCUGAGGCACUUAGAGAAAAGCUCAGAGAGGAUCAAGAGAAGAGGCCUUGGGACCAUGAGCCUGCGAAGCCAAAGCCCUUGACCUACUGGAAGGAUGUACUUCUCCUGGAGGGUGUGACCUUGACGCAGGAUUCCAGGCAGCUGAAUGGGUCGGAGCGGGCGGUGUUGGAUGGGCUGCUCACCCCAGCCGAGUGUGGGGUGCUACUGCAGCUGGCUAAGGAUGCAGCUGGGGCUGGAGGCAGGUCUGGCUAUCAUGGUCGCCGCUCCCCUCACACCCCCCAUGAACGCUUCGAGGGGCUCACAGUGCUUAAGGCUGCGCAGGUGAGCACAGGAGGCACCCGGGCCCAUCUGAUGCCCAGACCUGGAGGAGAGGCUGUGCAGGAAGCCGGGCCCCAGGGCCUGGGCUUUUGUGAAGGAGCUUUCUUGGGACCUAGACUACCUGAUAGGACCCAGCAUGGAGAAAAGGGAUGUUCUGAGAGCUGGGGCAGUUUGGGCUGACGGACAGAGCUGGAUGCCGAGAGACUCCAAACCCACGGGUGGAGAGCAGCAGAGCUGGGCAGGGGCUAGGGCCGAGACCACCCUCCCAUUGCCUUCCUCCGUUUCUGCCCUGCCUUUCACUGCCUGCAGCUGGCCCGGGCUGGGACAGUGGGCAGUCAGGGUGCUAAGCUGCUUCUGGAGGUGAGCGAGCGGGUGCGGACCUUGACCCAGGCCUACUUCUCCCCGGAACGGCCCCUGCAUCUGUCCUUCACCCACCUGGUGUGCCGCAGCGCCAUAGAAGGUAUGACAGGGACCCCCCACUGCUCUUCUCCAACCUCAGGCCCUGCCCCCAGGACACUGCCCCCAAGAGCCCCGGGGUGGACGUGCAUGGCAUGAGCCCACAGGGUGGCAGA
rnacentral:sRNA from 1 species